ACACAUCACGUUCAAACACCGGUUCCCGUACGGUCACCAAAGUUAAGCAACGUCGAGUCUGACCAGUACCUAGAUGGGCGUAUGCUUGGGAAUACAAGGUACUGUAUG